AGACUUGGUUUCAUGUGCUUCAAGAAGAUCUUCCCUUCUUCCCAGAUUUUUUUUUCUUUAUUUUCCCAGAUUUGCAAAAUCUGAGGCAGGUUUUAUUGCAGAAGACCUAUGCUUUUUUGGGAAGCUCAUUUUAAACCUUCAUUCAAUUGGCUCAGCUGAAGUGAGAUCUUGAAUGAUUUUAGACAUUUGGGAAUGGAAGACAAGGUGAUGUGGAGACUAGAGCAUAGCUGCCUCAUUACUCUUGGUCUAGCCCAAGGUGAGAAACCAAAGAAGGAGGCUCAGGGAGAUCUGGAAAUACCAGGUUCGUGAUGGACAACAUCUACUUAUCUUGGAGAAUAUUCACUUGAGAACAAGGAACCUAACAAGGCAAGACUUUUUUCCCAGUCAUAGUUACAUAUUAAUUACGCUGCUAGAAGAUGUCAUGAAUUUCUGUAGGCUCAAGCAGCAGUACUAUAUUGAUGGUAUAUCCUGAAGCUCUGCAGCACCUGUAUUUGAAAUAAAUAUCAUUGCCUACCUAUUUCUGGUCUAGAGGCAAACAAGUGGAACAGCUAGAUACAAUUCUGUCCAAGUAUGGUGAAGGUGACCAUGAUGCAUGAAAGACAGGAAUCUGAAAGUGCUUUGGAAGCUGUGGAUAAUCACUAUGAAACAUGUGGAUCAGAAACAGAAUUGGAGCUAUUUUAUCUGGACCUAAUUAAACAGCCUUCAUUACUGGCAGGCUCUCCUGGUGGCUGAUGUGAUUGCAGAGAAGAUAACAGAGGCCAUACCCAAAGGACUGACUCUGAUCCUGCUGAAACAAAACAAAAAAAAAGAAUUUAUUCCUUUGAGAUCAAGCCUGGAAGAUGUCCUACUUUGCUUUGGUCUUCUUAAACCUUGUCACGCAACAGUAUGCAUACUUUUUCCCUGUUGCUGUCUUCAUGUCUGAAGAACUAACAGAUUUUCAUGGGAUGAAUAUAAAUAAAAGUCUGUACUGAUGAACUUUGAAGGGAAUG
rnacentral:lncRNA from 1 species